rnacentral:piRNA from 1 species
UCUGGAAACAGCUCUGCCGCGAGAAAGA